UAAAGUUUCCUGCUUCUAUCAAAAGCAGGUGGUGCGGAUGGGGUUUUAUACUCCCGCCAGGUUUCUUGUUUCCUGUAAAAGAACAAGUGGCGUGCAUGGUA
rnacentral:ncRNA from 1 species